rnacentral:rRNA from 1 species
GAUGAACGCUGGCGGCGUGCUUAACACAUGCAAGUCGAACGGACAGGCCCUGCUCUUGCGGGGUGGUCGAGUGGCGAACGGGUGUGUAACACGCGAGUAACCUGCCCCUGACUUUGGGGUAAAUCCAGGAAACUGGGGAUCAUACCGGAUAGGAGCUCCUGAAGCACGGUGGGGGUUGGAAAGAUACGGCGGUUGGGGAUGGACUCGCAGCUUAUCCGCUGGUUGGUGGGGUAGUGGCUUACCAAGGCUAUGACGGGUAGCCGGCCUGAGAGGUUGACCGGCGACAAUGGGACUGAGGUACGGACCAGACUGCUACGUGAGGCAGCAGUCGAGAAUAUUGCACAGUGGCCGGGAGCCUGUUGCAGCAAUGUCGCGUGCGUGAUGACGUGCUUCUAGGUAUAAACCACUUUCGCCGGUAACGUAGCGUGAGUGACGGUAAUUGGUAAAGAAGCACCGGCUAACUACGUG